rnacentral:rRNA from 1 species
UACGAAGGGGGCUAGCGUUGCUCGGAAUCACUGGGCGUAAAGCGCACGUAGGCGGAUUGCUAAGUCAGGGGUGAAAUCCUGGAGCUCAACUCCAGAACUGCCUUUGAUACUGGCGACCUUGAGUCCGGGAGAGGUGAGUGGAACUGCGAGUGUAGAGGUGAAAUUCGUAGAUAUUCGCAAGAACACCAGUGGCGAAGGCGACUACCUGGCCUGUUCUUGACGCUGAGGCGCGAAAGCUAGGGGAGCAAACGGG